rnacentral:rRNA from 3 species
UGGCGACCAUAGCAAGAGUGAACCACCUGAUCCCUUCCCGAACUCAGAAGUGAAACCUCUUAGCGCUGAUGG